rnacentral:rRNA from 1 species
UACGUAGGGGGCAAGCGUUGUCCGGAUUUACUGGGCGUAAAGAGCGUGUAGGCGGCCAAACAGGUCCGUUGUGAAAACUGGAGGCUCAACUUCCAGACGUCGACGGAAACCGUGUGGCUAGAGCCCGGAAGAGGAGAGUGGAAUUCCUGGUGUAGCGGUGAAAUGCGCAGAUAUCAGGAAGAACACCAGUGGCGAAGGCGGAUCUCUGGGCCGAUACUGACGCUGAGGAGCGAAAGCGUGGGGAGCGAACAGG